GUAUUACAAAUAUUAUUUUGUUGUGUUAACAUUCAAAUAAAUCAAGCGUUUGUGAUAGAAACAUAGACAAAAAAAGGCCCUUGUUAGGGUGUCCUUCUCUCGCCUACUGAGGGUGCACAGGUGGAUAUUGGUUUUAGUUAGGAGUGCACAUGCCCCCGGAGGAGCCAGCAACAUCCCUUGAAAAUCAAUAAUGAUCCUUCCGCAGGUUCACCUACGGAAA
rnacentral:misc_RNA from 1 species